AACGCACAUUGCGCCCUUUGGUAUUCCAAAGGGCAUGCCUGUUCGAGCGUCAUUUGUACCCUCAAGCUUUGCUUGGUGUUGGGCGUCUUUUGUCUCCAGUUCGCUGGAGACUCGCCUUAAAGUCAUUGGCAGCCGGCCUACUGGUUUCGGAGCGCAGCACAAGUCGCGCUCUUUGCCAGCCAAGGUCAGCGUCCAGCAAGCCUUUUUUUUCAACCUUUGACCUCGGAUCAGGUAGGGAUACCCGCUGAACUUAA
rnacentral:misc_RNA from 1 species